UGCUGACAGAAAUAAACGACCCUGUACAGAUACAACAUCAAGUCAAGAACUGAAGAAGCAAGCGUCACUUUGACUCAUAAAAGGCCAAAAUGCCAUUUCACUCUGUACAGCAUAUAGGAAUAAAUGGACUAUCAGAAGAGGGAGGGCUUAUCAAAAGAAUUCAACAUGCUAAAUGAACACCAACAGGCAACAGCACCUGCAAGAGCAUUUUUCGCUUUA
rnacentral:misc_RNA from 1 species